GUGCUCGCUUCGGCAGCACAUAUACUAAAAUUGGAACGAUACAGAGAAGAUUGGCAUGGCUCCCGCACAAGGAUGACACGCAAAAAAAUAAAAAGGUCCCAGAAGGC